GACGAACGCUGGCGGCGUGCUUAACACAUGCAAGUCGAACGCUGAAGCUUGGUGCUUGCACUGGGUGGAUGAGUGGCGAACGGGUGAGUAAUACGUGAGUAACCUGCCCUUGACUCUGGGAUAAGCCUGGGAAACUGGGUCUAAUACUGGAUACGACAUGUCACCGCAUGGUUGUGUGUGGAAAGGGUUUUACUGGUUUUGGAUGGGCUCACGGCCUAUCAGCUUGUUGGUGGGGUAAUGGCUCACCAAGGCGACGACGGGUAGCCGGCCUGAGAGGGUGACCGGCGACAAUGGGACUGAGACACGGCCCAGACUCCUACGGGAGGCAGCAGUGGGGAAUAUUGCACAAUGGGCGGAAGCCUGAUGCAGCGACGCCGCGUGAGGGAUGACGGCCUUCGGGUUGUAAACCUCUUUCAGCACGGAAGAAGCGAAAGUGACGGUACGUGCAGAAGAAGCGCCGGCUAACUACGUG
rnacentral:rRNA from 1 species